rnacentral:rRNA from 1 species
UACGUAGGGUGCGAGCGUUGUCCGGAAUUAUUGGGCGUAAAGAGCUCGUAGGCGGUCUGUCGCGUCGGUCGUGAAAACUUGGGGCUUAACCCUGAGCUUGCGGUCGAUACGGGCAUGACUGGAGUUCGGUAGGGGAGACUGGAAUUCCUGGUGUAGCGGUGAAAUGCGCAGAUAUCAGGAGGAACACCGGUGGCGAAGGCGGGUCUCUGGGCUGAAACUGACGCUCAUGCACGAAAGCGUGGGGAGCAAACAGG